UACAGAGGUCUCAAGCGUUGUUCGGAUUCAUUGGGCGUAAAGGGUGCGUAGGUGGCGCGCUAAGUCAGGUGUGAAAUUUCGGAGCUUAACUCCGAAACUGCAUUUGAUACUGGUGUGCUUGAGGACUGGAGAGGAGACUGGAAUUUACGGUGUAGCGGUGAAAUGCGUAGAUAUCGUAAGGAAGACCAGUGGCGAAGGCGGGUAGCUGGGCCAACACUGACGCUGAUGCGCGAAAGCUAGGGGAGCAAACGGG
rnacentral:rRNA from 1 species